rnacentral:lncRNA from 1 species
AUGCCGCACCUCUCACCACCGCUGCCAUCCAUUAUCAGCAAGAGGAACGGAGAGAAAAAGAGUCCCUUAGGCAGGAAGUCCUUUCAUUGUGGGUUUCAAGAUAGGAGUCUAGCACAGCUGUCCUCUGAGAGGCAGCUGACUCAGACGGAUGCAUAGACCUACAGCCAAACAGUGGAUGGAGCUUGGGGACUCUUACAGAAGAAUAAGAAGAAGGAUCUAGGAACUCCACAGGAAGACCAACAGAGUAAAAUAACCUGGACCCUUGUGGCUCUCAGAAGACUGAACCACCAACCAAAGAACUUACCCAGGCUGGACCUGGGCCUCUCUGCACAUAUAUAACAGAUGUGCAGCUUGGUCUUCAUGUAGGUCCAAACAACUGGAGCUGUUGCCUGUGUAUAUGAUAUAUUCUUCUAGCUGACUGUCUUUUCUAGCCUCAGUGAGAGAGGAAGCACCUAGCUUCGCAGAGACUUGGUGUACAAGGGUGUGGGAGUGACACACAGAGGACACCUACCUGCUCAGAAGAGAAAGGGGUGAGGAUUGUGGGAGAGGGUGACCGGAAGGGAGGCAGUGAGGUGCACAUAAAGUGAAAAUCAAAACAAAACAAAACAAAAAACAGUUUAAAGAUGUCUGGAUUUUCAAAUACACAAAACUGUGUCACGUGCC